rnacentral:rRNA from 1 species
AUGGAAACAUUUGAAUAUGGCUUGUGCUUUUCAUCAGACCUGUGGCCUGGGACGAUGCUGCGCGCAUGCGCCCGAGCCGGAGCCGGUGCCUGGGGAAACGGAAGGUAUCCCAUGACGCGGGUCUCGACUGGCGCAUCGGCUUUCGGCGUGCCCAAGGUUUGGUUGGAUUCGCUUUGGCGCCCGCCCCAUUUUCUAGAGUCCCAGGCCAAUCAAAGAACGACAAUUGGCAGCCAGGUGGCUGGCCCGGUCAAUGCACGCACUUUUGAUAAACCCCCCCUGCCUUUUCCCCUAAUCAACCCGGCGGGCGAAGGCGACCUGCCGCGGUCGGCCUCGCUGUGCCUGCGGGAGGUGCUCCUCGUGCUGCAGCGCUUCAAGGCCAUGGUGGCCGACUGCGCCGCGCGGAGCCGCACGCUGCUGCUGCUGCAGUCGGACGAGAUGGACGCCGAGCUGCGGGACCUGCACCACGACCUCGCCACGCUGCUCGACCUCCUGCCCGUCGUCGAGCUCGGCCUCGCCGACGACGUCAUGGACCUCCUCGCCCUCGCCUCGCGCCAGUGCCGCCGUUGCGCGUCGGCCGCCGAGCCGGAGCCGGCGCUCAAGACCACCGUGCUGUCGCUGAUCGAGGAAAUCGAGCGGGAGAUCGUGCCCGAGCGGGAGAGGCUGGAGGAGGUCCUGGAGGAGGUUGGCAUCAACGACCCGGCCAGCUGCAGCGACGAGAUGGAGAGCCUCGAGCGGGACAUCGGCGACCGAGCAUCGGAGAGAUGGACUGCCGCCAUGAUCGCCCUCGUCGGCCUGCUCCGGUACGCCAAGUGUGUCCUGUUCAGUGCCACGCCCCGGCCUUUUCGGAUUCCAAGGCGGACAUCGAUGUCGAAGAUGACGGGGAGUCACCGGCGCCCCCACCGGACCUCCGGUGCCCCAUCUCCCUCGAUCUAA